rnacentral:rRNA from 1 species
CGUAUCACCACCACGACCCAGCCGCGACCCCCGCCUCGCGUUCGUCGUCCUCCUCCUCCCCCUCCCCCUCGCCGUGCCCCGCCGCCACCUCCGCGGCUCAAGCCGGUCGUCGCGCCAAAACCGGCCGCCUCCCUGCCCCCGCCGCCCGCCAUUGUCUCCACCAUGGACCCCGCCUCCACCUGCCUCAACUGCACUCACUUCGGCUCGUGUUCCGGGUGCACUCACGAGUUCGACCUCGACAAGCCGCCGGUGCUGCAGGAGGUGGCGGAUUUCUUCAGUGGCCACGGAAUCGAAGACUUCACAUUCAGCAGGGGCAGGCUGUCAGAAUGGCGGUGCCGGGCGAAGCUAGCGGUACGUGGAACACCAGAGAAGCCGCUGAUUGGCCUGUAUCAAGAAGGGACACAUACUGUUCAAGAUAUUCCCGAUUGCAGAGCCCAUCACCCAAGCAUUAACUAUGCUAUUAAGCUUCUGAAGCAAGGUAUAUCUGAGCUCAGUGUGCAGCCUUUUGAUGAAGAUGCUGGUACUGGUGAACUAAGAUACGUGCAGAUGACCGUGACGACAUAUAACACGUCUAUUCCCGUUGCGCAAAGAUACGAGCAAGCGAGAGUUCAAGUUUCAUUCGUUUGGAAUUCAAGAGACGAGCGCUCCAAAAAUUCAGAGAAGUUGAGUUUGUUGCAAGAAUUCUUAUGGACAAAUGGUGGACCAAGAAGUAAUUUGCAUGUGAUUCACUCUAUAUGGGCCAAUUUCCAGACAUCAACCAGCAAUAUAAUUUUUGGGCAUAAAUGGAGACAUAUCGGCGGGGAGGCAGAUCUGUGGGAGCGUUUUGGGGGAGUUGAUAUUUGUCUUGACCCUUAUAGCUUUGGGCAGGCCAAUACUCUGUCUUUUAACUCGUUACUGCAUAAGUUGAUCAAAUAUGUACCACGGGGCUCAACAGUUGUUGAUUUAUACUCUGGUGCCGGUGUUAUUGGGUUAGCCAUCGCGGCUUCUAGGAAAUGCAGGUCUGUGAGAUGUGUUGAGAUCAAUAAAAUGUCGAAAUUGUCUUUUGAGAAGUCAGCAAGCCGACUUCCACCAAACCUGGGUUGCACCAUAACUUGGCACAAUACUGAUGCUUCAGCUGAACCCAUUCACUGGCUUGAAGGGUCAAGUGUUGCUAUCGUGGAUCCUCCCAGGAAAGGACUGCACCCUUCUGUUAUCAAUGCUCUACAGAGAGUUGCUUUGUCUGAGCGCAAGGCGUUCAAGGCCAAAAGUUCACUUACAAAGGUCAAAGAUGAGAAGAGACCAUGGAUCCUGCGAGCAAGGGAACCAGCUGUUCAUGUUGAUAGUACAAUCAUGGAAGAAAGUAGUGGAAUAUGGCCAGAGACCCUCAUAUACAUCAGCUGCGGAUGGGACAGUUUUAAAAAGGACUGCAAAAGCUUGAUAUCCAACGAGGCCUGGCAUUUGGAGAAUGCACAUGCUUUUAACUUCUUCCCUGGCACUGAUAGCAUCGAAGUCCUGGCGAUCUUCAGACGGGACUCUGGAAUUGCUCAGAAGAAAACAAAAACGAAAACAAAAGCAAAAACGAAAACAAAAGCGAAAAAGAAGAAAACCAAGCCAUCGAAAGUCUGA